rnacentral:lncRNA from 1 species
AAAGAAAUAAUCCUAAAAGUCAUAUGGAGAGUGUCAUGGCCAGCAGAGGCAAACAAAGGACAUGAAUGCCCCUCCUGGUAUCUGCCAGAAAUGUCUAUGUGUCCGUGGCUAACACACAUCUCUCUGCCUGUGUCCAGGGGCUACACACCCUUGAGGUGACCAGCCAGAAGAUGGUCAUCCUGAAGAUAGGCUGUGCUGAGCAACAGAAGCAGAACAGCCCUGAGGUAUUAAUACUGUUCCAAUCUUUAGCAAGAAGGGCCUUAAUGCUAACUCCUAAGCCUUAUGUGAUCCUGCUAUCCUCUAAUACCCUCUUUGCCAGGCCAAAAUUCCUCAAGAAAAAAAAAGGGCUACAGGGAAUCUCCAAAGACUCCAGAUAAAGCAACCUGAGCAAAGAUAACGUUUAGGGCACCACCAUUUCUGCUUUCUCUCUGUACUCCAAAGCCAUAGCAGCAAACAGCAUGGCGCCAGCACAGACACAGGCAUGGAGAGCAGUCGAAUAGAAUAAAGGAGCCAGAUGGAAACCUAUGUAGCUAUAGUAACCUGAGUUUUAACAAAGAUGCAGAAAAUGCAUCUUGGGGAAGACAGCCUCUUUAAGAAAGCAUGCUGAGGAAACAGGACGUCUGUGUGUAGAAUAAUGGAACUAGAUCACAAAAGCUUUCCCUGAACAAAAAUCAAAUCCAACUGAAUCAAAGACCUGAACCUCUGACACCAUUAGAAGAGAAAAUAGAGGAAAAACCCUUCAAGACAGAGGCACAGGUGAGGACUUCGUCACCGCUGCCUGUCACUCAGGAAAUUAGACCAACAGCUUACAAAUGGGACCAUAUGAGAUUCAAAAGCUUGUGUAUGGCACAGGAAAUGAGUAAGUGAAGAGACAGUCCGCAGAACGAGAUAAACUGUUAGUUACACAUCUGACAGAAAAUAUCCAGAUGAAGCAAAGAAUUCAAAAUGCUGAAGACUUCAACUCAGUAAAUGGACUACUGGAAUAAAUGGCUCCUAAAGAAUGAGACUCAAAUGGUCAGUAAAUAUGAAAGCUGUCCACCUCUGUAGCGGCCAUCAGCAAAACGUCAACCAAAGCCACAACGAGCGAGAUUCCAUCUUACUCCCUCAGAAUGGCUAUCAUUAAGAAAGUAAUAACAUGCAGGAGCGGUGGGGCACGCCUUUAAUCCUUAUACUCAGAAGGCAGAGGCAGAUGGGUCUCUGAGUUUGAGGCCAGCUUGGUCUACACAGUGAGUUCCAAAACAGCCAGGACUAUGUAGAAAGACCCUGUCUCAAAAAAAAAAAAAAGGAAAAGAAUAAAUUACAAAUAUGUGGCCAAAGGAGAAGAUAAUUGCACUGCAGAUGGCAACAUAAAGAAGAUCACCCACCACAGAAGUCAGUGUGUAUCUUUCUCAAGUGACUCAAAACUGACUUGCCAUG